rnacentral:lncRNA from 1 species
GGUUCUCAUUGCUCCUCAUAUUGCUAUCUCUCCGCUUCUUUGAUCUUUGCUUUGGGAGAACAUGGGCUAUCUCUUUUUCUUCUUUUUUUUCAGGUGGGUAGUAGAUACCCCUAAUUCUACUGUCGGACACUUUUCCAUUUUUUCCGCCCAAGUGGGCAUUUUUGUACCCCUAAUUCUACUUCGGACACUUGUCCAUUUUUACCUCUCGUCUCACUCUUUUUCUUUCUUUUUCGAGGUUCUGGGCACUUGCCCCUUUUUAUUUCCUCGCAUAUUUUUGCAUAACCCAUGCCUCUUCUGCAUUGAAUCUUUUUAGAGAGAGAGAAUAACAAUAUUUGGGACAGUGAGUGAUAAUAUUUUUAGCAAUUUUAAUGAAUGGUGAUGGAUGGUGUAGUAGAUGUGUGCAAGUGAAUAUCUUAAUUUAACCACAUGAAAAGCUCCUAAAGGUCUACACAGCUCGAUCAAACUCAAUGUGAAUAUAGUAAAAGAUGUUAUAGCAACUAUGGCUGUGGUAGGUAAUUUGUUAUGCUAGGAACUCAUCAUGUGAUUUGUAAGUUUUCAAAAUAAAUCUCCAGAACUUAGUGUAGUAGGAACAAGAUAAACAGCAGCUCAACUUUAUAUCAUGUCUUUCUCUUACCUUGACUUUAGUUUUAUGCUUCCCAAAGAUAGUAAUUUUAGUUUUAGUAAUUCCUGGAAGAACUCUAAUAUAAAAGCUAGGUACUUAAAAGUAAGCAUACAGAGCAACUGUUCAUUAUUUCCAUCAUGCAUCUUUUUGAUCUUUUUGUUUUUUCUAG